UACGUAGGGAGCAAGCGUUAUCCGGAUUUAUUGGGUGUAAAGGGUGCGUAGACGGGAAUUUAAGUUAGUUGUGAAAUCCCUCGGCUUAACUGAGGAACUGCAACUAAAACUGAAUUUCUCGAGUGCGGGAGAGGAAAGUGGAAUUCCUAGUGUAGCGGUGAAAUGCGUAGAGAUCGGGAGGAACACCAGUGGCGAAGGCGGCCUGCUGGGCUCUAACUGACGCUGAGGCACGAAAGCGUGGGUAGCAAACAGG
rnacentral:rRNA from 1 species